AAAACUUUUCCAAAUAAAAAACAUCUGUUCUUAUCAGUUUAAUAUCUGAUACGUCCCCUAUCUGGGGACCAUAUAUUACAUUGAUUUUUGGAAUAGGGAGAUGGAAUAGGGGCUUGCUCCGUCCACUCCACGCAUCGACCUGGUAUUGCAGUACCUCCAGGAACGGUGCACCCCCU
ensembl:snRNA U2 U2 spliceosomal RNA